AGAGUUUGAUCCUGGCUCAGAUUGAACGCUGGCGGCAUGCCUUACACAUGCAAGUCGAACGGCAGCGCGGGGGGUAACUCCUGGCGGCGAGUGGCGAACGGGUGAGUAAUAUAUCGGAACGUGCCCUGGAGUGGGGGAUAACUAGUCGAAAGAUUAGCUAAUACCGCAUACGAUCUACGGAUGAAAGUGGGGGAUUCGCAAGAACCUCAUGCUCGUGGAGCGGCCGAUAUCUGAUUAGCUAGUUGGUAGGGUAAAAGCCUACCAAGGCGACGAUCAGUAGCUGGUUUGAGAGAACGACCAGCCACACUGGGACUGAGACACGGCCCAGACUCCUACGGGAGGCAGCAGUGGGGAAUUUUGGACAAUGGGGGCAACCCUGAUCCAGCAAUGCCGCGUGUGUGAAGAAGGCCUUCGGGCUGUAAA
rnacentral:rRNA from 1 species